rnacentral:rRNA from 1 species
UGAGUAACCUGCCCUUAACUCUGGGAUAAGCCUGGGAAACUGGGUCUAAUACCGGAUAUGACUCCUCAUCGCAUGGUGGGGGGUGGAAAGCUUUUUUGUGGUUUUGGAUGGACUCGCGGCCUAUCAGCUUGUUGGUGAGGUAAUGGCUCACCAAGGCGACGACGGGUAGCCGGCCUGAGAGGGUGACCGGCCACACUGGGACUGAGACACGGCCCAGACCUCCUACGGGAGGCAG